rnacentral:rRNA from 1 species
GAUGAACGCUAGCGGCAGGCCUAAUACAUGCAAGUCGAACGGUGUCUUCGGACAUAGUGGCGCACGGGUGCGUAACACGUAUGCAACCUACCUUACAUUGGGGGAUAGCCUUUCGAAAGGGAGAUUAAUACCGCAUAAGACAGUAGCUGGGCAUCCAGCAGCUGUUAAAGAUUUAUCGAUGUAAGCUGGGCAUGCGUCCAAUUGGCUAGUUGGGGAGGUAACGGCUCACCAAGGCAAUGAUUGGUAGGGGAACUGAGAGGUCAAUCCCCCACACUGGCACUGAGAUACGGGCCAGACUCCUACGGGAGGCAGCAGUAGGGAAUAUUGGGCAAUGGACGCAAGUCUGACCCAGCCAUGCCGCGUGCAGGAUGAAGGCGUUAUGCGUUGUAAACUGCUUUUAUACAGGAAGAAACGACUCUUGCGAGAGGCAUUGACGGUACUGUAUGAAUAAGCACCGGCUAACUACGUGCCAGCAGCCGCCGUAAAAC